rnacentral:rRNA from 1 species
GACGAACGCUGGCGGCGUGCUUAACACAUGCAAGUCGUACGGUAAGGCCCUUUCGGGGGUACACGAGUGGCGAACGGGUGAGUAACACGUGAGUAACCUGCCCACAACUUUGGGAUAACGCUAGGAAACUGGUGCUAAUACUGGAUAUGUGCUCCUGCUGCAUGGUGGGGGUUGGAAAGCUCCGGCGGUUGUGGAUGGACUCGCGGCCUAUCAGCUUGUUGGUGGGGUAGUGGCCUACCAAGGCGGCGAGGGGUAGCCGGCCUGAGAGGGUGACCGGCCACAUUGGGACUGAGAUACGGCCCAGACUCCUACGGGAGGCAGAGGUGGGGAAUAUUGCACAAUGGGCGCAAGCCUGAUGCAGCAACGCCGCGUGCGGGAUGACGGCCUUCGGGUUGUAAACCGCUUUCAGCAGGGACGAAGCUUUUUGUGACGGUACCUGCAGAAGAAGCACCGGCUAACUACG